rnacentral:rRNA from 1 species
ACGCGAAAUCUCCCUUCGGGGAGAAAGUAGAGUGGCGCACGGGUGAGUAACACGUAGGUAAUCUACCUUUGGAUGGGGAAUAACAACCGGAAACGGUUGCUAAUACCGCACAAUGCAGCGGCACCUAAUGGUGACAGUUGUUAAAGCGGGGGAUCGCAAGACCUCGCGUCUGAAGAGGAGCCUGCGGCGGAUUAGCUAGUUGGUAAGGUAACGGCUUACCAAGGCUAUGAUCCGUAGCCGGCCUGAGAGGGCGGUCGGCCACACUGACACUGACAUACGGGUCAGACUCCUACGGGAGGCAGCAGUCGGGAAUUUUGGGCAAUGGGCGAAAGCCUGACCCAGCAACGCCGCGUGAAGGAUGAAAUCCUUCGGGAUGUAAACUUCGCAAGAACAGGAAGAAUAAGCCGGUGUUAACAUCACCGGUGAUGACGGUACUGUUUGUAAGCUCCGGCUAACUCCGUGCCAGCAGCCGCGGUAAUACGGGGGGAGCAAGCGUUG